GGACCAAGGAGUCUAACAUGUGCGCGAGUCAAUGGGUCCCUCAAAACCCAGAGGCGCAAUGAAACGUGAAGGCGCGGCCUCGUGCCGUGCCGAGUUGCGAUCCCGGGCCGCCCAGGGGUCCGAUGAAGGGAGCAGCAACGGCCCGCCCCACACGCUCACGUCGUGGGGGCGGCGCUAGAGCGCACACGUUGGCACCCGAAAGAUGGUGAACUAUGCCCGGGCAGGACGAGGCCAGAGGAAACUCUGGUGGAGGUCCGAAGCGCUUCUGACGUGCAAAUCGAUCGUCCGACCCAGGUAUAGGGGCGAAAGACUAAUCGAACCAUCUAGUAGCUGGUUCCCU
rnacentral:rRNA from 2 species